rnacentral:lncRNA from 1 species
UGUGGGUGGCAGACAGAGGCUUUGUGCAUGAGAAGCCCAGACCUGGGGCUUUGGCUAGUGAAGACCUUCCUGGUCUCUGUUUUUUUCUCUCCAGGGUCAGGGUCCUGAAGGUUGGACCUUACGGUGUUGGUUUAAGGAAGAGGAAAAUGGAAAUCCAAACACAGGGAGAUCUAAGAGACACCAGAGAGGGAAACUAGGGGCCUUAGGGGUGAGGCAGACCUCAACUGCGAAAAGUCCCCAGGGGGCUGCUCCCACCCCUGAGGCCAGGUGGCAGGCAGGCUUCCCCACACGGUCAUGCGGAACCUUCCCCAUAUCCCGGGCCUGGCACAGAGGCCAGCACGCUGGAAUUAGAGACGCUGAGGGGAUGAAUGACAGUGGCCACACAACUGCAGCAAGAAGAAUCCUGCUGUGGGAAGCAGGAUUUUUGCAGCUGUUCCAGAGCAUGCUCCCAUCUCUGCAGUCACCCAUGCUUUGGGAGAGUCUUUAUUGUUUCUGUACUUGCUGCUUUUGCCAACCCAGCAUCCCUUCCCCUUUUCUGCAGAGCCAGGUAGUUCAGAUGGACCUAUUCCAACUCUGCCCCAGAGACUGACACCUGACACAUGCCUGGCUAAUCACAGCACUGCAUUCCUCUGGCCACAGUGAUUAGAGAAGGGAUGGGCAUGUGACCCAAGCUGGACCAAUGAGAAGCAUCCCCAGGACUUUUGCUGGAGAGUCUGGGUAGGAGGUACUUGCUGGGAGGAAUAUCUGCCUGGAGACACUGUUCUCUACUGGCAAAUGCCACGUGGAGAACAAAGUCGGCACAGUCAGCUUUCAGAGCUGAGGCAAGGAUUCCUGAGGACAGCAAUGUAAACACCCUGAUCCAGCCAUGCCUGAGGCUAGAUAGGCCCCUGGGCCAUUCGUUUGAAUCCAUACAUUCAUACGAAUCCAUGAAUUCCUUGUUUUCUCCUGGCACUUUGAGUUGUCUUUUCCUUGCAGCUGAACAUCUUAUCUCAUCUGACCCUCUAGUAGAGCAAAGACUUUAGCCACCAUUUCUGGAUGAGCCUUGGUGGCUCCAGGUCAGAUGGCUCAUCAAAGGUGAAACCUACCUGCGGGCUGUCACACCGAGACUUUCUCCAGGAGCUGAGGUGGCAGUGCUGAUAAUUUCUACAGCAGCAGAGUGUGCCAGUUUCCAGCAGCUGUUCGGGGUGAAUGUGCAUGUGGAGCCUUCCACCAGAGCAUCGCUACUCGCCUCGGCAACUUUACUCAGUGUUGGAUCCACCAAGGAUGCCAGGAGGGGCCUCGACCACCAGCUGUGCAAAUCAGCCCCUAGUGUCUGGGAGGAGGUGGUCUGGAGGGCAGAAAGCCCAGUGGGGGUUGAGGAGAAGAAGGAAGAGAAGAAGGUUGGCAGUGCGGGAGAUGGGGGUAGGGGGGACUCUGACACCCUCUGUUGUCGCCAUUGGUUCGCUCCAAAUUAUCUCAGUCAACACACAGUUGCAGACUCAUCCUGGGUAUCUGCCUGUGACCCCCAUUUUUAAUUGCAGGUCACCCUCGAGCCCCCUGCAUGGAAAUUCCAGAACUGCCUGAGUUGCAGGUGGAGGUGGCUGAGUUGGGACCCCAUUAGGACAUUUUUUUUUCUUUGAGACAGAGUCUCACUCUGUCACCCAGGCUGGAGUGCAGUGGCACGAUCUCAGCUUACUGCAAUUUCCACCUCCCAGAUUCAAGCGAUUUUCCUGCCUCAGCCUCCCAAGUAGCUGGGACUACAGGCGUGUGCCAUCAUGCCCAGCUAAUUUUUGUAUUUUUAGUAGACACGGGGUUUCACCAUGUUGGCCAGCCUAGUCUCGAACUCCUGGCCUCAAGUGAUCCACCCACGUUGGCCUCCCAAAAUUCUGAGAUUACAGGCGUGAGCCACUGCGCCCAGCCUUAUCUAGGUCAUUUUCACAAACCAGGGCUACCUGGUGAAGUGGGUCCAGGAAAGGUCAUCCCAACCCCAUUCUGAAAGCGCCUUUUGGUGAAAUCUAGGUGCGGAGGCUGCACAGAGCCCAGACUUUAGCGGCUGUUUGAAGCUCACAUGCUAAUGACGUUUGUAUCCAAAUAAUAACAAAUGUCAGGUGUAUGCACCUGUCUCUCUCAUUUGUAUAUUGCCUGAAUGCUUUUCUCAGUGCCUCUUUCCUGGGCCAGAUGUGCAGCCACCGCCUGUUCUGGGGUGGCACGGAGGAGGAGGAGGAAAGGAUACUGAGGUUUAGCACAUUUAAGUUUGGAAACUGUUCGAUGCCAUCCCUGACAGUUCACCCUAGGAUCUGGGGGUGGAGAGUGAUGACAGAAGCGGGCAAAUAAUCUGUGAGUCUUUCAGCCGUUGCUGUGUGCCCCACCGUACACAUACCCUUUUCUAAUGUGUGCCAAACAGUGAAAUCUAAUGAUAAUAGAUAAGGAUUGUAGGAAGAAAGCAAUCUAGAACCGAUUAUUUCUUUUCUUUCUUCAGAAAUAACCGUUAGGUGAGGAAUGUGAUUUGAGGUGCACCAAGAGGGGUCCUCAGUUUCUAAACACUGCCCCCCAGACCCCCAAUACACACAUACCCUGCCUCUACCUCCACCCAAAGAGAGGACUCAAUACUGAGGUCAGAACUCCUCUACGUGGGACUAUAGCAAAGAAGAACGCAGGAGAGGGGACGGUGGCUGGGGACACAGCAGAUGGGCACUGCCAGGCAGGACUGCUGUGGGCAUUGCCAGGGAGAGCCAGGAUGCAAAAAUGGCAGUGAGGGGGCCCUGGUAAGGGCUUCUAGGGCUUUGCUGAUCUCCAGGCUCAUGCGAGGGCUGACUAGCUUGGGCAGACAGACCUUUUUUCUUUUUUCCCUCCAACAGAAACAAAAGGAUAAAAUCAUUGGCAUCACUGCUGGACAUGGUGGCUCACGCCUGUAAUCCCUGCACUUUGGGAGGCUGAGGCAGGUGAAUCACCUGAGGUCAGGAGUUCGAGACCAGCCUGGCCAACAUGGUGAAACCCUGUCUCUACUAACAAUACAAAAAUUAGCUGGGUGUGGUGGCGGGUGCCUGUAAUCCCAGCUACUCAGGAGGCUGAGACAUGAGAAUCACUUGAACCCGGGAGGUGGAGGUUGCAGUGAGCUGAGAUCGUGCCACUGCACUCCAGCCUUGACGACAGACCAAGAACCUGUCUCACAAAAAAAAAAAAAAAAAAAAGGAGAAAGAAAAAAAGAAAUCAUUGGCAUCAAUUGGGCUCAUUCAACGUAGAUUACUGAUGUGUUAUUGUUUUGAAGAUAGAAGAAAUAUAAUUAAUAAAAGCCACCCAGCCCGCCUUUUGUGUUUCCGUGAAUUCCUUAUUGACGUCUGCAUCUAUCUCAAGCCGCAGAUGAGCCAUCCUUUUCAGCUGCCCUGGAUAGCACGGAGAUGAACAGUGUGGAAAAAUCACUCCUGGGAUCUGUACACUCAUCUUCUGCAGCUGCAAUUUUUCUUCUGCAGCCUCAGUUUUCUCCAUCACAGUGGUGGAAUCAGAGAGGGGGUUUCCCGGGAGCACAGUGCAGGGUUCCCUUCAAGGAAGAGCAAAGUCCGCCUCAGUGCUGGAAGCUUUUUUGGGAGGCCUGAGCGCCUUCCCACCUUGGAUCUCUCUCUCCAGAGCCACCAGACAACCAGUUACCUUUCAGGCACCAGGCUUUGAUGGGUGUGGGGGAACUAUUUCCCGGCAGCGGCCCUGGAAUCACACCUGCCUCACCUCCGGCCUUGAUGUGCCUUAGAGGGACUGAGGGCCAAAGGUCACCUCAGGGAUCACCAGGAGGCCUAGGGAAUAGAAGUAAGGUGUGGGGUGGAGGCUGCGGGCUUCUCUCUGCCCCUGGCAGCUUCUCGCCCACCUGCUUGCUAGUUUGACUUUGGUCCUGCCCACUGUCUCUCUCACACCCACCCACCCUGACAUCUAGAGAAAUGAAAGCUCCUUUGCAUGACAGGAAGCAGGGGAGUUCCCUGAAGUAUGAUUGCAAACCUGAAAACAUCCCCAAACUAGUCUUCCAUCACCACCUGGAAGACAAGAGUUGGAAGAGAAACAGAAAGCAACUUUUUUUUUUGAGACAGAGUCUCACUCUGUCGCCAGGCUAGAGUACAGUGGUGAGAUCUCAGCUCACUGCAACCUCUGACUUCCUGGGUUC